rnacentral:rRNA from 1 species
CUACGGGGGGCAGCAGUGGGGAAUAUUGCACAAUGGACGAAAGUCUGAUGCAGCAACGCCGCGUGGAGGAUGACACAUUUCGGUGCGUAAACUCCUUUUAUAUCCCAAGAUAAUGACGGUAGGAUAUGAAUAAGCGCCGGCUAACUCCGUGCCAGCAGCCGCGGUAAUACGGAGGGCGCAAGCGUUACUCGGAAUCACUGGGCGUAAAGAGCGUGUAGGCGGGUUGAUAAGUUGGGAGUGAAAUCCUAUGGCUUAACCAUAGAAUUGCUUCCAAAACUGUCAACCUAGAAUAUGGGAGAGGUAGAUGGAAUUUCUGGUGUAGGGGUAAAAUCCGUAGAGAUCAGAAGGAAUACCGAUUGCGAAGGCGAUCUACUGGAACAUUAUUGACGCUGAGACGCGAAAGCGUGGGGAGCAAACAGGAUUAGAUACCCCAGUAGUC